CCUUGACAAGUAUUGAAAAAGCCGACUUGACAAAAUUAUCCCAAGCUGAAAUUUGAAGUGGAAAGGUACCCCCUAUGAACAUAGUCUUUUCUCCACAUGAAGCCUGGUAGAAGUUACUACACUGAGGUGAAAGGAGUGUGCUUUCCCCACAUAGGAGUCACUUCCACAGUACUUUGGAAGACAAUAAGAAUGUAUUUACAUACUGUAUAUACCGAUCCAUCAAGUUAACAAGCAUGGGGCAGCAAACUCAUACUAUCACUGCAGGCAGGGGGCAGGAG